AGAAAACAGAGGCACAGGGAGUUUAAUAACUGCCCAACAUCACGCAAAAAGCAGGGCCAUGAUUUGAACCCAGAUCAUCUGACUGCACUUUGCAUCUUUACUUUGAGACCUGCUUUGUGCCAGAUAGUCUGAACAUUUUAUGUCAUUGAAAUGAGAAAACUGGUCAUCAUUUCUCCCAUCUUACAGAUAAAACGUGCUUGCAGAUUCUGAACUCACAUAGGGAGUCAGUGGAAGAGCCACGCCCAGUCUCUGGCUCUCUUCUCUGCCUUGGUGGAAACUAUCUGUAAACUUUAAGGGGCUGCAUUUAACUUUUGAUUUUGUCUCUCUGUAUUCUUGACCCAGCUUGCCUGGGGCCUGAGGCUGCCCGAGAAAGGGCACAAGGGAGGGAGCCUUCUGGGGCCAGAAUGAGGAGAGAUCCCCAUCCUAUUUUUUCUCCUUCCUCAGGCCAGGAUGUUAUUAAUAUUAAUCUCUUCUUGUGCUCUGCCCUGCCUACUGGGUUGCACCCAGGAAGGACAAGGGGUGGGGCAAGGGAUUUGCCUUCGGGCUACUGAAGGCAGGACUGGUUCAAGCCCUCUAAGGACUGUCCUUCAAUUGUUCCUCUCCCAGCUCUCCUUGCACAAAGGGGGAAGGCCUACCCUUGAGGCCAAGGUCAGUCCUGCCUCUAGGCCUCGUCCCUCCUGCUUUCUUCCUCUACCCUCCAUUCAAAGGUUGAGUGAACAAGCCAGACUGGGAUAUGUGGGAAUGGGAAACAGUGGCAACUUCUUCUUAGUUCUCCCACCCAAAGAACUGUUGCUAUGACAACCCACCUCCACAGAGGCAGUUUGAGAAAAAGCUUUAGGCAAGGAAGAAUGCACGGGUUCAAGUCUUGGCUCUGCUUCUGAAACGUUUUGUGGUCUUGAGCAGCACUCUGUCUCUCUCCUGGCCUCAGUUUUUCCUCCUUUUGGUGGAGGGGGUAGAGGGAGAUGGGGACUGUGAAACCAGAUGAUUGUUAAGAACCUUUAUAGUAACAAUAUUCUGAUAGUCCCCGCUCUGGGAGCUCGGACUGGGAUUUCCAGGCUUUUACCCUAGGGCCUGAUUUAUAUUGAGCAAUGAGGAAACCAUACAGGACCCCAGCGCUGGGCAGAGAGUCUGGUAUGUAGAUGUUAAGGAGAGGAGUAGGGAGCCUGAAUCUCCUUGGAAGGAGAAUUGGGUUUGGAGUCGCCUCUGAGGCUGCAUCUCUCCUGAGCUGUUUAUCCUAUACUCUAUUUUCUUCAAGAGAUGGUGUGAAAAGAGUGUUUCUUUUUCUGGCAAGAAAACCUUGCUUUCUUCUAUUCUGGGAGUGAUGCUGUCACAGUCAGGGAAUCCCACUGCCACAGGAUUAUAGAAUCUGCUCUCAGAUUUAUUUCCCAGCAACACACUACAACCCAGACCCCUGAAUCCUGGGAACCAUCAAAGGGGUCAAGGAUAGUAAAGGCAAGAGAAUCACAGAACUGAAUGUGACCUCCUUAGCACUGGGCCAAGCACCAGAAAUGGAUUGGGCAGGAUCUGCUCUCAGGGAGCUCACAGUCUGGUUAGGGAAGGAGGAGACAGAAGAACAUUUCUAGUACAGGAUGAUAAGUGCUGGUAGAACCCAGGAAGGGCCUCCUGGAAGAGUCUUCACUGUAGAGUGAUGUGGUUGGGUUUGUGCUCUAGAAAGUCGAUUUCAAAUUGGAAGGAGGCACAGGCUGUUUCCUCUGCUUGAAAUGCUUCUCUCCACCUCUUUGUCUGGCUGAGUCCUUCUAUUUUUUUUUUUUUGACACAGGGUUUCACUCCCAUCACCCAGGCUGGAGUGCAAUGGUACAAUGUCGGUUCACUGCAACCUCUGCCUUCCAAGCUCAAGCGGUUCUCCUGCCUCAGCUUCCUGAGUAGCUGGGACUAUGGGCAUGUGCCACCACACCUAGCUAGCUUUUGUAUUUUUAGUAGAGACGGGAUUUUGCCAUGUUGGCCAGGCUGGUUUCGAAGUCCUGACCUCAAGUGAUCUUCUGCCUCAGCCUCCCAAAGUGCUGGGAUUACAGGUGUGAGCCACUGCGCCCAUCCUAGCUGAGUCCUUCUUAACCUUAAAUUUUCAGCUCAUGUCCCUUAUCCUAGGAAGCAUUUCCUGACCUGGUUAGGUUAUGGCCCUCUAGGUAUCUACAGUCCUCUGUAUAGCAGUUGUUUCCACUAGCGUUUGCCACACUGAACUUUUCUUUCUUUCUUUCUUUCUUUUUUUUUUUUGAGAUGGAGUCUCGCUCUGUCGCCCAGGCUGGAGUGCAGUGGUGCGAUCUCGGCUCACUGCAAGCUCCGCCUCCUGGGUUCAGCCCAUUCUCCUGCCUCAGCCUCCCGAGUAGCUGGGACUACAGGCACCUGCAAACACACCCAGCUAAUUUUUUGUAUUUUUAGUAGAGACGGGGUUUCACCAUGUUAGCCAGGAUGGUCUCGAUCUCCUGACCUCGUGAUCUGCCUGCCUCGGCCUCCCAAAGUGCUGGGAUUACAGGCAUGAGCCACUGCACCUGGCCUGAACUUUUCAUUUUUAAAUUAUUUAUUUAUUAUCAUUAUUUUUUUUGACACGGAGUUUCGUUCUUGGCGUCCAGGCUGGAGUGCAAUGGCGUGAUCUCGGCUCACUGCAACCUCUGCCUCCCGGGCUCGAGCGAUUCUCCUGCCUCAGCCUCCUGAGUGGCUGGGACUACAGGCACACGCCACUACCACCCAGCUAAUUUCUGUAUUUCUAGUAGAGAUGGGGUUUCACCAUGUUGGCCAGGCUGGUCUCAAACUCCUAACCUCAAGUGAUUCACUCGCCUCGGUCUCUCAAAGUGCUAGGAUUACAGGCUUGAGCCACCAUGCCCGGCUGAGGCCUGCAUUUAGGAUGGAGGCAUUGAGGUUGAGCACUGAGCUAACUGGAAGCUCAGUGACAGCUUCAGUGAGAAAUGCUUGAGAGUUGUAGCAGACACAAGCUCAUUGUGUGUAUGGUGCCAGGCACACACUGGGUGUUCCGUGACACCUGUUCAGUGAAUGGAAGAAUGAAUAUGUGUAAGCCCACAAGGAGAUGUGACUGAAAAAAAAAGUUGCUAAUUUACAAAUUAGAUAAUUGAAAAUAUUUUUAAAUUUACUUUUUAGCAAUCCUAUAAACAGUGCAUUGUUAACAAUAGUCUUACUUAUAAAUUUGCUCAAGGUCAGUUAAGUAACAAAUGAGCUGUAAUAACCCAGAUCAACCUGACUGCAGGGGCUUCCAGGAAGCCUCCUCUGAUUCCCUACCCAUGCCAUACACUCACUUAGACCCUACUCUCCUAGGAGAACAGAUUAGUGCUGCCCAGAAGCUGGGGCAGGACAUUAGUUUCCUAUUGUCACUGUAAUGAAUUACCACAAAGUGGCUCAAAAAACAAAAUUAUUAUGUUACAGUUCAGAAGUCCAAAAUCAGCUUCACCAGGCUAAAGUCAAAGUGUUGACAGGUCUACACUCCUUCCGUGGGCUCCAGGGAAGAAUGUUUCCUUGCUUUUUCCAGCUUCUAGAUGCUGCUUGCAGUGCUUGAUUCGUGGCUCUUUUCACCAUCUUCAAAGCCAGCAGCAGAGCAUCUUCUCUCCUCUCUAACCUCUGUUUCCAUCCCUACAUCUCUCUAAUUCUACUGCCUCUCACUUGUAAGGAUUACAUUGGGUCUACUGGGAUAAUUCAGUAUCAUCUUCCCAUUGGCAAGAUCCUUAAUUAAAUCCUGCCUUCAAAGUCCCUUUUACCAUUUAAGAUAAAAUGUUCACAGGUUAAGCAGCUGGUGAGUGUCUGUAGUCCCAGCUACUCAGGGGGCUGAGGCUGGAGGAUCACUUGAGCCCAGGAGUUCAGGCCAGCCUGGGCAAUAUAGUAAGACUCUUCUCUUAAAAGAAAAUUUAUAUUUAUCCUCAGGUCCUGGGGAUUAGGAAUUGGACAUCUUUGGGAGAGGGGCUUUUAGCCUGACACAGGCAGGGUGGAAAGUGGGCAGGAGGAUGCACCCAGGCCCAGAAUGAACCUCUGUGCUUUGUCCAGCCUCCCCUAGCCUGGAAUGAGAGGUGGUACCAAGGCGGAGGUGGCAGGUCCAGACCCCAUGUCUAGAGAAUGUCAAAUGCCUCCUGUACCAUCACCACCAGGGAGAGCCAAAGAUGAAGAUCAGGCUUAGGAGAAAGCCUCAGUUUAGGAAUCGUUUUAGACCUGAGACCUUCCUGGUAACCACAGUGGAGGAUUCCUCAACACUGUCUCCUCUCCAGAACCAUUCUGUGCUCCUAUUCCCCAAGGCUGAAGAUAAUUAUAUUCCCAGUGAACUAACCUGGGUUCUCUCUGGAAAGGGCAGAUUGAUUAGUUGUCUUCUUUUUAAAUUGUUAUUUUUAAUUAUUUAAUAGUUAAACCAUGCUUCUCAUAGCAUAGUGAAUUCCAUCACCAGGCCCCUUUCUUAUUUUAUUUUCUUCUUUUUUAAAAAAAUUUUAGACUGGGCACGGUGGCUCAUGCCUGUAAUCCCAGCACUUUGGGAGGCCGAGGAAGGUGGAUCACCUGAGGUCAGGAGUUCGAGACUAGCCUGGCCAACAUGGUGAAGCCCUGUCUCUACUAAAAAUACAAAAAUUAGCUGGAUAUGGUGGUGGGCACCUGUAAUCCCAGCUACUUGGGAGGCUGAGGCAGGAGAAUUGUUUGAACCCAGGAGGCGGAGGUUGCAGUGAGCUGAGAUCAUGCCAUUGCACUCUAGCCUGGGUGACAGGGCGAGACUCCAUCUCAAAAAAAAAAAAUUAGCUGGGUGUGGUGGUGCAUCCCUGUAACCCCAGCUACUCAGGAGGCUGGGCUGAGGCAGAAGAAUUGCUUGAAUCGGGGAGGCGGAGGUUGCAGUGAGCUGAGAUUGCACCAUUGCACUGCAGCCUGGUUAACAAGAGCGAAACUCCG
rnacentral:lncRNA from 1 species